rnacentral:rRNA from 1 species
UACGGGGGGGGCAAGCGUUGUUCGGAAUUACUGGGCGUAAAGGGCUCGUAGGUGGCCAACUAAGUCAGACGUGAAAUCCCUCGGCUUAACCGGGGAACUGCGUCUGAUACUGGAUGGCUUGAGUUCGGGAGAGGGAUGCGGAAUUCCAGGUGUAGCGGUGAAAUUCGUAGAUAUUGGGAAGAACACCGGUGGCGAAGGCGGCGCUCUGGACCGAGACUGACGCUGAGGCGCGAAAGCGUGGGGAGCAAACAGG